AUGAACGCUAGCUACAGGCUUAACACAUGCAAGUCGAGGGGCAGCAUGGUCUUAGCUUGCUAAGGCCGAUGGCGACCGGCGCACGGGUGAGUAACACGUAUCCAACCUGCCGUCUACUCUUGGACAGCCUUCUGAAAGGAAGAUUAAUACAAGAUGGCAUCAUGAGUCCGCAUGUUCACAUGAUUAAAGGUAUUCCGGUAGACGAUGGGGAUGCGUUCCAUUAGAUAGUAGGCGGGGUAACGGCCCACCUAGUCUUCGAUGGAUAGGGGUUCUGAGAGGAAGGUCCCCCACAUUGGAACUGAGACACGGUCCAAACUCCUACGGGAGGCAGCAGUGAGGAAUAUUGGUCAAUGGGCGAGAGCCUGAACCAGCCAAGUAGCGUGAAGGAUGACUGCCCUAUGGGUUGUAAACUUCUUUUAUAAAGGAAUAAAGUCGGGUAUGGAUACCCGUUUGCAUGUACUUUAUGAAUAAGGAUCGGCUAACUCCGUGCCAGCAGCCGCGGUAAUACGGAGGAUCCGAGCGUUAUCCGGAUUUAUUGGGUUUAAAGGGAGCGUAGAUGGAUGUUUAAGUCAGUUGUGAAAGUUUGCGGCUCAACCGUAAAAUUGCAGUUGAUACUGGAUAUCUUGAGUGCAGUUGAGGCAGGCGGAAUUCGUGGUGUAGCGGUGAAAUGCUUAGAUAUCACGAAGAACUCCGAUUGCGAAGGCAGCCUGCUAAGCUGCAACUGACAUUGAGGCUCGAAAGUGUGGGUAUCAAACAGGAUUAGAUACCCUGGUAGUCCACACGGUAAACGAUGAAUACUCGCUGUUUGCGAUAUACAGCAAGCGGCCAAGCGAAAGCGUUAAGUAUUCCACCUGGGGAGUACGCCGGCAACGGUGAAACUCAAAGGAAUUGACGGGGGCCCGCACAAGCGGAGGAACAUGUGGUUUAAUUCGAUGAUACGCGAGGAACCUUACCCGGGCUUAAAUUGCAGAUGAAUUACAGUGAAAGCCGUAAGCCGCAAGGCAUCUGUGAAGGUGCUGCAUGGUUGCCGUCAGCUCGUGCCGUGAGGUGUCGGCUUAAGUGCCAUAACGAGCGCAACCCUUGUUGUCAGUUACUAACAGGUUCCGCUGAGGACUCUGACAAGACUGCCAUCGUAAGAUGUGAGGAAGGUGGGGAUGACGUCAAAUCAGCACGGCCCUUACGUCCGGGGCUACACACGUGUUACAAUGGGGGGUACAGAGGGCCGCUACCACGCGAGUGGAUGCCAAUCCCAAAAACCUCUCUCAGUUCGGACUGGAGUCUGCAACCCGACUCCACGAAGCUGGAUUCGCUAGUAAUCGCGCAUCAGCCACGGCGCGGUGAAUACGUUCCCGGGCCUUGUACACACCGCCCGUCAAGCCAUGGGAGCCGGGGGUACCUGAAGUGCGUAACCGCGAGGAGCGCCCUAGGGUAAAACUGGUGACUGGGGCU
rnacentral:rRNA from 1 species